GAACAAAGUUGUCAAGAUUUUUAGCCAGGAAUGUCAGUAUGAUGACGACAGCGGCGGCAAUUGGGGCUCUGUAAAUCUGGACCAUCCGGCGACGUUUGAUACGUUGGCUAUGGACCCUGAGUUGAAGCAAUCGAUAAUCGAUGAUUUGGAUAGGUUUGUUAGAAGGAAAGAUUUCUACAAAAAGGUAGGGAAGGCUUGGAAGAGGGGAUAUUUGUUGUAUGGUCCUCCUGGUACCGGAAAGUCAAGCUUAAUU
rnacentral:misc_RNA from 1 species